UACGUAGGGGGCAAGCGUUGUCCGGAUUUAUUGGGCGUAAAGAGCGUGUAGGCGGCUUUACAGGUCCGUUGUGAAAACUCGAGGCUCAACCUCGAGACGCCGGUGGAAACCGUAAAGCUAGAGUCCGGAAGAGGAGAGUGGAAUUCCUGGUGUAGCGGUGAAAUGCGCAGAUAUCUGGAAGAACACCCGUGGCGAAGGCGGCUCUCUGGGACGGUACUGACGCUGAGACGCGAAAGCGUGGGGAGCGAACAGG
rnacentral:rRNA from 1 species